AGCAGCCGCGGUAAUUCCAGCUCCAAUAGCGUAUAUUAAAGUUGUUGCAGUUAAAAAGUUCGUAGUUGAAUUUCGGGAUUGGCGUAUCGGUCGUGUCUUCGGACAUGUACUGGUAGUUGUCAAUCUCCACCUUCUAGUGAACUAUUAUGCCUUUCACUAGGUGUAAUAGGGAGCUAGGACUGUUACUUUGAAAAAUUAGAGUGUUUAAAGCAGGCUCUACGCUUGAAUAGAUUAGCAUGGAAUAACGAAAUAGGACGGCAUGAUUCUAUUUUGUUGGUUUCUAGGAUCACCGUAAUGAUUAAUAGGGAUAGUUGGGGGCAUUAGUAUUCAAUUGUCAGAGGUGAAAUUCUUGGAUUUAUUGAAGACUAACUACUGCGAAAGCAUUUGCCAAGGA
rnacentral:rRNA from 1 species